rnacentral:lncRNA from 1 species
AUGUACCUGUUUGUCCCGGUCCUCAGAGAUCCAGAAGGACGAGUCGGGCCUGGGAGCCGGGUUCAACUCCUGCUGCAGCUGGUGGAAGUGGCUGCUGGGACUCCUGUUGGGCCUGCUGCUGCUGUUGGGCCUGCUGUUCGGACUCAUCGCCCUGGCGGAGAAGUUCAAGCGUCUGGAGGACCGCGUGGAGACUCUGGAGAAGGUCGUGGGCGGCGGGACGGCCAGCACCAGCCGCCUCUCCUCCGUCAACAUCAUCGACCCCUUGGAGUCGUCCUACGUGCAGAAGAAGGCCUUCGCCGGCACCGCCCAGUCGCGCUCCGGCAACGGGAUCGACCUGGGGGCCUCGGGGCCCGGGGCCGGCGGCGGCGGCGGCCUGGGGGUCGGUGGGGCCCUGGGGGCCGCUGGAGGGGGCCCCGCGUCCGGAGCCGUUGACAGCGCCGCCCUGCAGAGAGCCGUGGAGCAGCUGGUCCGGGCGGAGCUCCGCUCGGACACCCUGAGAGGUAGAGGGAGGGGGGGGAGGAGGUGGUGGUGGAGGAGGUGUUGGUGGAGGUGGCGGAGGUUGUGGUGGAGGUGGUGGAGUUGGUGGAGGUGGUGGAGUUGGUGGAGGUGGUGGAGGAGGUGGAGGAAGACCUGAUGAUGAUGAUGGUGAUGAAGAGGUUGCUUUAUGACAGUGGAGUUAAUCGUAGGGAAUGUGUUUUAUUUUCCCAGAAUCCCUGACGUACUCGAUGAAAGGAGCCAGAGGCGAUCCCGGAACUAAAGGUAUUUCAAACAUGAUUCCAAAACAAGAAUUCAAUUGAAUUCCUGUUUUGAAUUCAACUGAAUUCAACAUGAAUUCGAACAUAAUGCAUUCUCUCUCUUUUCGUGGAAAGAAAAACGGCCAAAUGUCUGUGAUGUGAGCUUCUCAUUGUUAUGGAUUUUUCACAGGCGAUCAUGGGUUGCAAGGAGGGAAAGGUCAGUGAGUCCACUGGUUUCCUGCUAAAUUUAUUCAUUAUAAUGUAAAAGACAUCCCAUCUUAAGCUAAUAACCUAAUGAUGGUUUUUGGUGAUUUUUCAGGUGACACUGGCUUUGCCGGCAUACCAGGUCAGUGUGUGAAAAUCAUAGAAUCACAAGUUAUAAUAUAAGCAAGAUAAGCAAGAAGGUUUGAAUAUUUAAGAGUAUACUACUCCCUACUGACAACGUGGUGUUGGUCUGGCCUCGCUGUAGGCCCUCCUGGUCAAAUGGGCCAUCCUGGACUGGAGGGACCACGUGGAUCCAAAGGAAGCGCUGGUAAUUAUCGUGCUUCAAACUGCAUUGGCGCAUUUGGACCCUAUAAGCUCGUUAAUAAUUCUGUUGAUACAGUAUGUCUAGACAAAUGUCAUUCUUUGUGCUUAACGAAACAAUUAUAUUUUCAUUAAUAUCAAAGGGAG